CGCAGACGCGCAGACGCCGGAAUCCGCCCAGAGCGUGAAGCAGCUAGGUGAGAGCCAGGUGCUCCUCGACCAGCUCCCGGAGGAGGAACGCGGCCUGGAGUUUGGGCCGCCGCUUGCUGUCGCUUCUGCUGCCGUCGCCGAGCAGGCCCAAGUUUCUGGUGACAGCCCCAGGGAUCGUCAGGCCUGGAAGAAAUGUGACUAUCGGGGUGGAGCUUCUGGAACACAGCCCCUCACAGGUCACUGUGAAGGUGGAGCUGGUCAAGAUGUCAGCCAGCCUCACCAUCUCUGUGCUGGAAGCAGAAGGAGUCUUUGAAAAAGUGUUUCUGCGGGAGGAUGAGAACUUGGAGCUGUAUUUUCUUCCACUCGGCUGAUGUCACUCUGCUUUCUUUUUAAGAAGAAUUCUGUUGAUAAUUGAACAGAAGUAACCAGUAUUAUCUUCCUAAAUUAAAAUUGUCCACUUGAAAUUUUACUUAUUUAAAAUUGAUCUUACGUAUUUGUUUUACAUCUGAGUUUCAUUAUCUUAGUUAAUAACUUAAAUAUUAGAGAACUAAAUAUGGCCUUUAAAUAAUUAGAAUGUAGACAUAUUAACAAUAAUUAAGAGGACAUGAAGACUUACUAAGUAAACAAAUCUCUUGUGUGUACUUGAGCCCUGGCUCUUACACCUAAUAGGUCGUCCUAGAUUUUUAGCAUAAAUAAUUAGCCCAGAGAGACUGCUGUUUACCUGAUUUCUAAAAUAAGGUAAUAAGUAUCCUUUGUGGCUACUGUCUUCAUAGACAAUGCUGAGUUACUUACUAUGCUUUGCUUUAACUGUAUCAACACAUGAAUAUACUUAAUUGAUAGAUUUUUUUGCAUCAUUCACUUUGAAUGGGAUUUUAAAUUUAUCUAAAACAUUUCAGUAGUAAUCCUCAUUCAAAGACAAAAGGUUUUAGGUGUUCACACUAUUCAUUUAUGCCUUAUUACCCUGUCACAGCUAAAAUAUGGCUACCUGUAGCUUUGUUUUCAACUUAGUUUGAAUAAAAUAUUUCUUCCUCUUACUAUUAAAUAUUUAUCACACACACUUGAUGACAUUUCUCUAAAUUCAGAGAUCAACCUUUUUUUAUUAUGUAGUACUUCUCAGAACUCAUAUCUAGUGUGAUAUACUUUUAAACUUGAUUUUUUUUAUGUGUAAAGUGAAGGUACAGUUAAGUAGAUGUGUUUAAUUAUAUAUAUAUGUUAUAUAUAUAAUUACAGCAUUAUUCUAGCUGUUUUUAACCUCACCUAGUCUAAAAUCUUGUUCUCCCUUCAGGAAGCAGAUGUUUGUGUAUGAAAAGCACUAUAGAAAUCUAUUGUAAACCUUCAUUUAACAUGAUUUCAACAUGCACAGAUAGAUACUGUAAAUGCCCUUAGCUAGACAUGACUGCAGUAAACACUGCAAAGGAGUCCAAAUUUAAUUUAUCCUAUUUUUGAAGUUUAAGUCACCAUUAUACAUAUUAGAGGCUUAGCAAGUUAGAUACAUGUAUUUUGGGAAUUACUAAUGGAAAAUACUAUGCUCUUUGUGGCUUCAUUAAAAAUAAUAUAACUACAAGCAUUUUUUUUUUCAAAUCAGCCAGCUUACUUUCAUUGUGAAUGUUAUGAACUCAUUUUACAAAGUUACGAACUAAUGAGAAAUGAAUGUGUUAUGUAAAUUUCAAACUGUAGUUGUCACAAGUAAUUGAUGAA